AGUUAAGUGAAUAAGGGCGCACGGUGGAUGCCUUGGCACUAGGAGCUGACGAAGGACGGGACUAACACCGAUAUGCCUCGGGGAGUUGUAAGUAAACUGUGAUCCGAGGAUUUCCGAAUGGGGAAACCCACUAUUCGUAAUGGAAUAGUACAUCUACUUGAAUACAUAGAGUAGAUGAAGCACACCCAGGGAAUUGAAACAUCUUAGUACCUGGAGGAAGAGAAAGCAAAUGCGAUUUCCUUAGUAGCGGCGAGCGAAAUGGAAUGUAGCCCAAACCAGUAAGUUUACUUACUGGGGUUGUAGGACACUUCAUAUGGAGUUACAAAGAAGUAUGUUAAAUGAAUCGAUCUGGAAAGGUCAGCCAAAGAAGGUAACAGCCCUGUAAUUGAAAAUAUAUUUCCUCCGAAGUGGAUCCUGAGUACGGCGGAACACGUGGAAUUCCGUCGGAAUCCGGGAGGACCAUCUCCCAAGGCUAAAUACUCCCUAGUGACCGAUAGCGAACCAGUACCGUGAGGGAAAGGUGAAAAGUACCCCGAGAGGGGAGUGAAAGAGUACCUGAAACCGUGUGCCUACAAGUAGUCGGAGCGCUUUUAUGCGUGACGGCGUACCUAUUGCAGAAUGGACCGGCGAGUUACGAUCGUAUGCAAGGUUAAGUGAAUCAUUCAUGGAGCCGCAGCGAAAGCGAGUCUGAAAUGGGCGCAUUUAGUAUGCGGUCGUAGACCCGAAACCGUGUGAUCUACCCAUGUCCAGGGUGAAGGUCAGGUAACACUGACUGGAGGCCCGAACCCACGUAUGUUGAAAAAUGCGGGGAUGAGGUGUGGGUAGGGGUGAAAAGCCAAUCGAACACGGAGAUAGCUGGUUCUCUCCGAAAUAGCUUUUGGGCUAGCCUCAAGAUGAUAGAAGUAUUGGAGGUAGAGCACUGAUUGGACUAGGGGCCCUCAUCGGGUUACCGAAUUCAGUCAAACUCCGAAUGCCAAUUACUUUAUCUUGGGAGUCAGACAGUGGGUGAUAAGGUUCAUUGUCGAGAGGGAAACAACCCAGACCACCAGUUAAGGUCCCAAAGUAUACGCUAAGUGGAAAAGGAUGUGAAGUUGCAUAGACAACCAGGAUGUUGGCUUAGAAGCAGCCACCAUUUAAAGAGUGCGUAAUAGCUCACUGGUCGAGUGACUUUGCGCCGAAAAUGUACCGGGGCUAAGCGUAUCACCGAAACUGUGGAUUGUUCCGUAGGAACAAUGGUAGGAGAGCGUUCUACGUGCAGCGAAGUAAGACCGUGAGGACUUGUGGAGCGCGUUAGAAGUGAGAAUGCCGGUAUGAGUAACGAAAAAAGAGUGAGAAUCUCUUUCACCGAAAGCCUAAGGUUUCCUGAGGAAGGCUCGUCCUCUCAGGGUUAGUCGGGACCUAAGCUGAGGCCGAAGGGCGUAAGCGAUGGACAACAGGUUGAUAUUCCUGUACCACCUCGUGAUCGUUUGAACGAUGGGGAGACGCAGGAGGAUACGGAAAGCGCACGGAUGGAUGUGUGCGCCCAAGCAGUGAGAGAGUUGGAUAGGCAAAUCCGUUCAACAAUUUCAAGCUGUGAUGGGGAGGGAAAUUUAGUACCGAAGUUCCUCAUUUCACACUGCCAAGAAAAACCUCUAGUAAGAUCACAGGUGCCCGUACCCGAAACCAACACAGGUAGGCGCGGAGAGUAUCCGAAGGUGAGCGGGAGAACUCUCGUUAAGGAACUCGGCAAAAUGACCCCGUAACUUCGGGAGAAGGGGUGCUUCUUGUAUGAGAAGCCGCAGUGAACAGGCCCAAGCGACUGUUUAGCAAAAACAUAGGUCUCUGCGAAGCCGCAAGGCGAAGUAUAGGGGCUGACACCUGCCCGGUGCUGGAAGGUUAAGGGGAUGUGUUAGUGCAUUCGCACGAAGCAUUGAACCGAAGCCCCAGUAAACGGCGGCCGUAACUAUAACGGUCCUAAGGUAGCGAAAUUCCUUGUCGGGUAAGUUCCGACCCGCACGAAAGGUGCAACGACUUGGGCACUGUCUCAACGAGAGACCCGGUGAAAUUAUACUAUGCGUGAAGAUGCGCAUUACCCGCGACAGGACGGAAAGACCCCGUGGAGCUUUACUGUAAUCUGAUAUGGAAUGUUUGUGCAGCUUGUACAGGAUAGGUGGGAGCCUGAGAAGCGUGAGCGCUAGCUUACGUCGAGGCAAUGGUGGGAUACCACUCUGGCUGUAUGAACAUUCUAACCCAGGACCGUUAUCCGGUUCGGAGACAGUGUCAGAUAGGCAGUUUGACUGGGGCGGUCGCCUCCCAAAAGGUAACGGAGGCGCUCAAAGGUUCCCUCAGAAUGGUUGGAAAUCAUUCGUUCGAGUGUAAAGGCAGAAGGGAGCUUGACUGCGAGACCAACAAGUCGAGCAGGGACGAAAGUCGGA
rnacentral:rRNA from 1 species